rnacentral:rRNA from 1 species
GAUGAACGCUGGCGGCGUGCCUAAUACAUGCCAGUCGAGCGAACAGAUAAGGAGCUUGCUCCUUUGACGUUAGCGGCGGACGGGUGAGUAACACGUGGAUAACCUACCUAUAAGACUGGGAUAACUUCGGGAAACCGGAGCUAAUACCGGAUAACAUAUUGAACCGCAUGGUUCAAUAGUGAAAGGCGGCUUUGCUGUCACUUAUAGAUGGAUCCGCGCCGUAUUAGCUAGUUGGUAAGGUAACGGCUUACCAAGGCAACGAUACGUAGCCGACCUGAGAGGGUGAUCGGCCACACUGGAACUGAGACACGGUCCAGACUCCUACGGGAGGCAGCAGUAGGGAAUCUUCCGCAAUGGGCGAAAGCCUGACGGAGCAACGCCGCGUGAGUGAUGAAGGUCUUCGGAUCGUAAAACUCUGUUAUCAGGGAAGAACAAAUGUGUAAGUAACUGUGCACAUCUUGACGGUACCUGAUCAGAAAGCCACGGCUAACUACGUG